rnacentral:rRNA from 1 species
AGCGAACGCUGGCGGUAGGCCUAACACAUGCAAGUCGAACGAGUGGCGGACGGGUGAGGAAUACAUCGGAAUCUACUCUGUCGUGGGGGAUAACGUAGGGAAACUUACGCUAAUACCGCAUACGAUUGAUUGAGCCGAUGUCGGAUUAGCUAGUUGGCGGGGUAAAGGCCCACCAGGGCGACGAUCCGUCGCUGGUCUGAGAAGAUGAUCAGCCACACUGGAACUGAGACACGGUACAGACUCAUGGGGGGGGGAGGUGUGGGGAAUAUUGGAAGAGGGGAGAAAGGCUGAGACAGCCAGACCGCGUGGGUGGAGAAGGUCUUCGGGUUAAAAAGCCCUUUUGUUGGAAAAGCGGUACCCAAAGAAUAAGAACCGGCAAACAUCGGGCCAGCAGCCGCGGAAAUC